rnacentral:lncRNA from 1 species
CGGUCUGACCGUGCGCGCAAAAGACCACCGAGCGGCCUCGGUCCAGCAGACUUUGGAUCAUAGAUUGCUCAGCCCUGUCGUGGACAAAAUCGUCGGGAGGCACGCCGAGAGGCGGGAGCAUGGCGACAGCGUCAAGUUGAUUGCGUAGACGUGGUUGAAGCCGUAUGCCCUCUCCCAAAACGAUAACAAAAUGGCAGCGCAAAUGUCGCGCGUUCACGACAGCGCGGAACAAGCCCCCUGUAAUAUGCAAAGACAUAUAGACAAGGAAGAGGCGUUGUCCUACGCAACCGGGAGGCGGAUGUGUGCGCCCGCACCACGAUGCGACGUCGUCGUGGAUGCAUGUGGGAGGUGCGUGCGCGAGUAAAGCGCGCCCAAUCGCUGUCUGUCGAUCCAUGGGAUGGACCAGCGACGUGAUGGCCGCAUAGGGAUCUCCUGAAAACGACGCCAUGAACUCGGCGGCGUGCCUGACGGCCAUCGCCCGCAUGUCAUCGGUACCGCCAACGAUGGCGCAAACGUUGGGCCGGUGCGCCUCGCCCGUGGGAGUUGCACGGGCAGGUCCGCCCACAGGCCACGUCUGCGACGGAUAGUGCGCGUGCAUCAUGGCCUCGGGGUCGGUUGGCCACGCGAUCUCAGCGUCAAAGUCGGCGUGGUGUGCGACCACACUCGAAAAGAGGGCGCGUGCUUCGGGACCCGGGUCGACCGACGACAGGUCGGCGUCGCCGCCGGCCGUGCCUGCGGGUGCUUCUGUCAUGCGGCUUUUUUUUUCUUCUCUUUCUCGUCUCCCGCCGGUUCCUUUGUCUCGCCGGUGGUACGGAGGCACCGGGCAGCGCGUGGUUGCAACAAUGGAGCCGCCAAAU